rnacentral:lncRNA from 1 species
GUGAAAUACAUUUUUUUUUAAAUUGCACCCUUGAUCAAGGCACAUACCCCCCUACAAAGUAGAAUAACUACACUGUAUAAAACACAUGUGGUCAACCCCCCAUCUGGAGAGAUACUGGGUGUGUAGGCCCCGAAACACACAGUCUGCUUAUCAACAAUGCAAACAAAUACUUUUAUGUCUUUAUACAUUUAUUCACUCAUUCAAUGAAUCAGGGAUAAAAUGGAUCAGGUAGGUUACUUCAAAGCAAGGUAGCUAACUGUCACAGUUGUCGUCUGGAAUGGAGGACCAAAACGCAGCAGGAAUGUGGAUGCUCAUCUUGAUGUUUAUUUUAACUCAAAGAGAACACCAAAAUAACAAACAAAGAACGAACAAACGAUCAACUAAACAGUCUUGUAACGCUCACACACGCCAAACAAGAAACAAUCUCCCACAAACACUAAACCAAACACAUACCAAUAUAUAGGACUCUCAAUCAGAGGCAACGAGAAAGCACCUGCCUCCAAUUGAGAGUCCAACCCCCCAUUAACCUAAACAUAGAAAUACAACAAACCCGAAAGAACAUAGAAAUACCAAAACAUAGAACAUAGACCAAAACCCCGGAAAUAAUAAAUCAAACGCCCUACUACAUAAAACACCACCCCGAACCACAUAAAACAAAUACCCUCUGCCACGUCCUGACCAAACUACAAUAACAAAUAACCUUUAUACUGGUCAGGACGUGACACUAACUAAGACAUGUUUAUCUAUAACCUUAUGAGGCUAAAAUAGUCAUGUUUUAGGGGAUAUCUAUGCACAGCAUGGAAGUUAUUUGUCAAUUAGGCUAUUCCUCUAACAUUUAUAACUUCGUCGUCGGAAUUACAUGGCUAGCCGACUGUUUAAUAGAGGGAAAUCCCAGCUUUCAAAUAAUGGUGUCAGAUUUAUUUCUCAACAGUCAACAAAACUAAUGCUAAAUAACUAAAUAGUUAACUAGCGAGAUAGCUUGUAGCAUGGCAAGUUAUGUUUUGAAUUGGCUAUAUAGUUAGUCUAUCAUUAUUUUAUAGGCUUCCAGCUGCAGAAAUGACCCUCUCUCCUCAGGCAACAGCCACUCGCACUGGAACACAAGCAGACGAUGCACAGCACACACACAGAGACCCGCUGAAGGGAUUGUCAUGACUGUAACCCUCAUUAGACAAUUGGGACCAGCGCAUCCUGCGUAUACCGGCUGGCGCAUUCUCAAUCUGCGCAUUCUCAAACUCUAACAGUCUACUGCAUAACCGG